GAGAUCAACGAAUGACCCCCUGUUGUUGUUUAAAUUAUUAUCUUGUCAAUCAGGCUUUUGGCGAAAUGUAAUGCUUUUAAACACCCGAGAAAUCAGUCAAUUCAAUAGCAAUAAUGGAGAGAAUGAUGAGCAAAAAGAAAGGAUUAACCACUGCG
rfam:Yersinia mollaretii ATCC 43969 contig01548, whole genome shotgun sequence.